rnacentral:rRNA from 1 species
ACUCCUACGGGAGGCAGCAGUGGGGAAUAUUGGACAAUGGGGGCAACCCUGAUCCAGCAAUGCCGCGUGUGUGAAGAAGGCCUGCGGGUUGUAAAGCACUUUCAAUGGUAAGGAAGGCUAGGUCGUUAAUAUCGAUUUAGAUUGACGUUACCCAUAGAAGCAGCACCGGCUAACUCUGUGCCAGCAGCCGCGGUAAUACAGAGGGUGCGAGCGUUAAUCGGAAUUACUGGGCGUAAAGGGCGCGUAGGUUGUUAUUUAAGUUGGAUGUGAAAGCCCUGGGCUUAACCUGGGAACUGCAUCCAAGACUGGAUAGCUAGAGUACAGUAGAGGAAAGGGGAAUUUCCGGUGUAGCGGUGAAAUGCGUAGAUAUCGGAAGGAACACCAGUGGCGAAGGCGCCUUUCUGGACUGAUACUGACACUGAGGUGCGAAAGCGUGGGUAGCGAACAGGAUUAGAUACCCUGGUAGGAUAGCGU